rnacentral:rRNA from 1 species
AGAGUUUGAUCCUGGCUCAGGAUGAACGCUGGCGGCGUGCCUAAUACAUGCAAGUCGAGCGAACAGACGAGGAGCUUGCUCCUUUGACGUUAGCGGCGGACGGGUGAGUAACACGUAGGUAACCUACCUAUAAGACUGGGAUAACUUCGGGAAACCGGAGCUAAUACCGGAUAAUAUUUCGAACCGCAUGGUUCGAUAGUGAAAGAUGGCUUUGCUAUCACUUAUAGAUGGACCUGCGCCGUAUUAGCUAGUUGGUAAGGUAACGGCUUACCAAGGCAACGAUACGUAGCCGACCUGAGAGGGUGAUCGGCCACACUGGAACUGAGACACGGUCCAGACUCCUACGGGAGGCAGCAGUAGGGAAUCUUCCGCAAUGGGCGAAAGCCUGACGGAGCAACGCCGCGUGAGUGAUGAAGGUCUUCGGAUCGUAAAACUCUGUUAUUAGGGAAGAACAAACGUGUAAGUAACUGUGCACGUCUUGACGGUACCUAAUCAGAAAGCCACGGCUAACUACGUGCCAGCAGCCGCGGUAAUACGUAGGUGGCAAGCGUUAUCCGGAAUUAUUGGGCGUAAAGCGCGCGUAGGCGGUUUUUUAAGUCUGAUGUGAAAGCCCACGGCUCAACCGUGGAGGGUCAUUGGAAACUGGAAAACUUGAGUGCAGAAGAGGAAAGUGGAAUUCCAUGUGUAGCGGUGAAAUGCGCAGAGAUAUGGAGGAACACCAGUGGCGAAGGCGACUUUCUGGUCUGUAACUGACGCUGAUGUGCGAAAGCGUGGGGAUCAAACAGGAUUAGAUACCCUGGUAGUCCACGCCGUAAACGAUGAGUGCUAAGUGUUAGGGGGUUUCCGCCCCUUAGUGCUGCAGCUAACGCAUUAAGCACUCCGCCUGGGGAGUACGACCGCAAGGUUGAAACUCAAAGGAAUUGACGGGGGCCCGCACAAGCGGUGGA